AAAUGACCCUCCUGGAAACAAUAAUUUCUCACGAUGUCUCUUUGCCUCUGUACAAGACAACACCCCCUCGCUACUGGGAGGGAAUGUUCGUUUGAGUAAAAACAAUUUAUAACCAGAUUUACAAAAAUUUUUGUUUCUGAGUUGGGCGAGCAGUAAGAGUUUAAGACCUGUAACUUUAAUUUUGUUUCAAGCUACUCUUCAAACAGGCAAGGGGCUUUUGUAGAAGAUCGUAAAAAAACAAAAAAGAACAAAGGAUAAAAGAGGAGGCCGACCUAUCGAUCGUACGACCGGGUGAAAGUCCAGUCGUCAGUGAGGUGAGUCUAUGGCCCUAUAGUGCUCUAUGAGGUCCAAUUUCACUCAUGACAAGUUGGCUGACUAGGUAAACGGGAAGAGAGACGCUCCGAAGAAGGAUAGCAAAAGGCUGAUCACAGUGAUUUUCAAUCUCAGUAAAGGUAUUCACAUAUUGGCAGAGGAAGAGCUCUCACAGUUAGGUAUGUAUGAAGGAGCUGUUUUUGUUGGAAAGGCAUGCAAAGACAUUUUGUGCUAUUAUGAAGCCAUCAAAUUGACCAGAUUGAAUCCACAUUUGAGAUGCAGCAGUUUAGUAAAUGUAGGUUUGAUAGCUGAUGUAUAAAUAAAAAGACAAAACUACCAUUAUAUCCUCAUUAUACUUGAUGUACAGUUUAAUUCUUUAAUGACAGAACAGCUGUGGAAAAAAGGUUAUCUUCUUGUGAAGUAAUGUGAAACUCAAAUUCUGCCUUUUAUGUAUCACACGAUUUUAUUCAGUAUAUUGUUUCCACAGACCAGCCAAAAAAGGAUGCAUAUUUUUGGUGGAAACUUUAAUGGGGAAGGGAAUUUUUAUAAUUAACUGGACUUUUAAAUUUUGACUCUGUAUCUCACUCCUUUCUUUCCUUUUCUUCUUUGUACACAAGCAAGUUUUCUGCAAAGCUACUAAAUGGCUUCACAAACUUUCCAUCUCUGAACAGAAAGGUUUUGGAACAAUGUUGCCAAAGAUCAAGACUGUGACAUGCCUUGUGGCAACUGGAGAUUUCAGAUUUUUGUUGAGAAAAACAAGAGAUUUGGCUAAAAACAGGGAGAUCCCUAGAAUUUGUUGAAUUUAUAAACAACAUCUGUCAAAAAAAGUCAUGUUGGAAAAACAGUUAAUGACAACAAUUAUCGUGGGUAGGGUCUUGCUAAUGGUUUUUAAUGUUUUCAUUAAUUUGUAAACACUACCAAAAAACUUUGUCACGGAGAAAGUCAUUUCAAUCAUUUUUGUUUUAAGAAAACCUCUGCUGAAAGACUAGAAAUACAGGGAGAAAAUCGGAAAAAAACUAGGAGACCGGGAUAAAGCAAGCAAAACCUGGAACCUCCCAGCAAAAUCAGGAUAGUUGACAGGUCUAAAAAGAUUGACAGGUUGACAGGUUGACAGAUAAAAAUCAAAGUCAUAUCUAUACAAACCUGGGGUGAAAUGGACAUCAAUUGUUUCAUUGCUGCCUUUUAUCAAAACACACGGUUGGGAAGUGCAGGGGCUAACAUCAACCUCAGAAAUAAUGCUUUUUGAGCCUGCAAAAAAGUAUGCAAUGGUGGGUUGGUGUUGUGAAAAUUUUGAAAAGCUACCAGUUAAAGUUGAAAAGCACAGUCCAGUACAGGGCAGUCAAUAUGUUACCAUAUAGUAAACAUCUGACUGAUAAACAAAAUUGUGAUUAAAGAAAUUUCUCCUGUGCAUAAUUUGUCUUAAAGUUAAAACAAAAUAUCAAAUACAGGGACCAUUGACAAAAAUUUUAUGCAAUGGCAUUCAAGCUCCUUGGAUCACAUGACAAACUUGCAUCAGCAAACAUAGUAAACUUCAAACUACCUACUGUAUGUAGUUUUUCUUUUUGUAAAAAAAUUGUUGUUUGUGGUUCAUGUAUUAGAUAUAAAUGUAGUAGUUAAUUAUUGCUGUGAAUAAAAUGUUUGAGUUUGAAUUUGUAUCAGAGAAUAGAGAAUUCAAAGCAUAAAUUAUUUUUAGAAUAAUUUACUCAUAGAGAGCAAAAUAUUUCCAAUGGUGCAGUAUAGUUUUAUAGUUUUGCAGUAUAGUAUUACUGCAAAGGUGCAGUAAUGUAAAGUGGUUUCAAGAAAAAUGGAGUCCCACCCAAUUAGCAAGCAUUGUUUUAGAAAUUGGAGGAAGCAUGUGCCCCGGCUCCACAAACCACUCACAAUAAUGUGCAGAAUAGCAGAACUUGGUAGUGUUUUUUCAAGUCUACUGUACUUAUCGGUUGAUUGCGCAAUAGUGCCAAAAUGGGACGGAUACAGAAUCGACAAUAGGCCAUAGUUGCUCCGGGAAGUGGGUGGUGGUCUUCUUCUGCAAUGUGCUUCCUUUUAUUCAAAUUUGGCCUGCAUGUCAACAAAUGCCGGCUUUUGGAAAAGAAUAGAUAAGUUUUAUUUUUAAAAAAAAUUUGCUUCACUUUGUUAAAAAAGCUGAUAAUAAAAAAAGAAGAAAUUCAACUCACCGCAGUCCUUGUAUUUCACCAUCAUGGCUUGCGAAAUACCGAUAAAAAACACAAGUGUUAUGAGAACUUUUGCGAUUGAUUUCGCCAUUUCUGAUUUGGACGAGUGUACAGUCAAUCUCUUAGCCAACCUAAAAACCAAGUGUUUUUGUGGACAACUGGUUUACUUUUACAUCACGCGUCAGUAAACCGGCUGUUGUUGACGUAUGGCUUAAUGUCAACCGGCCUAUAUAAGGACAUUUGGGGGACAUGGAUCCCGCAGCUGUACA